rnacentral:rRNA from 1 species
UCCGUAGGUGGAUAAUUAAGUCAGAGGUGAAAUCCUGCAGCUCAACUGUAGAAUUGCCUUUGAUACUGGUUAUCUUGAGUCAUUAUGAAGUGGUUAGAAUGUGUAGUGUAGCGGUGAAAUGCAUAGAUAUUACACAGAAUACCGAUUGCGAAGGCAGAUCACUAAUAAUGUACUGACACUGAUGGACGAAAGCGUGGGGGGCGAACAGGAUUAGAUACCCUGGUAGUCC